rnacentral:rRNA from 1 species
CAUCCAACGCGUUGGGAGCUCUCCCAUAUGGUCGACCUGCAGGCGGCCGCGAAUUCACUAGUGAUUCGUAUUACCGCGGCUGCUGGCACAGAGUUAGCCGGUGCUUAUUCUGUCGGUAACGUCAAAACAGCAAAGUAUUAAUUUACUGCCCUUCCUCCCAACUUAAAGUGCUUUACAAUCCGAAGACCUUCUUCACACACGCGGCAUGGCUGGAUCAGGCUUUCGCCCAUUGUCCAAUAUUCCCCACUGCUGCCUCCCGUAGGAGUCUGGACCGUGUCUCAGUUCCAGUGUGACUGAUCAUCCUCUCAGACCAGUUACGGAUCGUCGCCUUGGUGAGCCAUUACCCCACCAACUAGCUAAUCCGACCUAGGCUCAUCUGAUAGCGCAAGGCCCGAAGGUCCCCUGCUUUCUCCCGUAGGACGUAUGCGGUAUUAGCGUCCGUUUCCGAACGUUAUCCCCCACUACCAGGCAGAUUCCUAGGCAUUACUCACCCGUCCGCCGCUCUCAAGAGAAGCAAGCUUCUCUCUACCGCUCGACUUGCAUGUGUUAGGCCUGCCGCCAGCGUUCAAUCUGAGCCAUGAUCAAACUCUAAUCGAAUUCCCGCGGCCGCC